rnacentral:rRNA from 1 species
UACGAAGGGGGCUAGCGUUGCUCGGAAUGACUGGGCGUAAAGGGCGCGUAGGCGGACUGCACAGUCAGGCGUGAAAUUCCUGGGCUUAACCUGGGGACUGCGUCUGAGACGUGUGAUCUAGAGUGAGGAAGAGGGUCGUGGAAUUUCCAGUGUAGAGGUGAAAUUCAUAGAUAUCGGGAAGAACACCGGUGGCGAAGGCGGCCUUCUGGCCCGAUACUGACGAUGAGACGCGAAAGAGUGGGGAGCAAACAGG